CCAGUUCCAGCCUUGUUUCAAUAAGUCCCCUUUAUUGUAUAGACACAGCAAGAGGGCUUUGAGCCAGCCCAUUCAGCCUGGGCUUCCCAUAGGAUUACAUAUCUAAAUAUAUGGAAGUAAAAGUGGCCCGAGCAGCCACCAGGGCCACUGUGUCUGAGUCUGAGUGUCCUGGUCGCAGAGAGCCCAGCUGAGAGGUCAGGCGUCGAGCGAGUAGGUGCCAUGGUGUGGGAUACCGUCAUGUCUGCCUGGUGAGGUAUACAGACGAGGAGGCAUAGAAAGGUAUUGGUAUGUUAUGCAGAUCACAUUUACCAUCCUCCUCCCUUACCUCUUCAAUAAAAAUCACAUAGGCCUCUACAUUAUGGACAAGGUAUGUGUAUGAAAACCAAUUUCAAAAGUGUUUUUCACAUUUACCACAAAAACCAAGGUAUGAAUACUGUCGUGUGCAUGUUUUGUUAAUCAUCUGUAUAAUUACUAUUUUUGAAUUCACAGACUUCACCCUCCCUACACCUCUGAUUAAUAUAACAGGAAACCUGUUUGAUCACCAUGUACUGCAAAAUCAUUCUGGCUAUGGAUACGGAGAACAUCAACACAUUAACAUCAACACGUCAGAGGAUAAACCGAUUGGACUUGGGGCUCUGCUGGGAGUUUACCUCAUACUUAGAUUUUCUAUUCUGCUUUGCCA
rnacentral:lncRNA from 1 species